UGGGGAAUUUUGCACAAUGGGGGAAACCCUGAUGCAGCGACGCCGCGUGAUUUAGAAGGCCUUCGGGUUGUAAAAAUCUUUUUUAUGGGAUGAAAAUGACAGUACCAUAAGAAUAAGGUCCGGCUAAAUACGUGCCAGCAGCCGCGGUAAUACGUAUGGACCGAGCGUUGUCCGGAAUCAUUGGGCGUAAAGGGUACGUAGGCGGCCCAGUAAGUUAGAAGUGAAAUAAUAUAGCUCAACUAUAUAAAGCUUUUAAAACUGCUAGGCUUGAGAGAUGGAAGGGAAAGUGGAAUUCCUAGUGUAGCGGUGAAAUGCGCAGAUAAUAGGAAGAAUACCGGUGGCGAAGGCGACUUUCUGGUCAUCAUCUGACGCUGAGGUACGAAAGCGUGGGUAGCAAACAGG
rnacentral:rRNA from 1 species